GUACCCUCUCAAGCAUCAAGCGGUAUUCAUGUGGGACUCAAUCCUCCUGCUAAACAAAAUUCUUGUCGCAAUAACAAUAUGAAUGGGGACCACAUUCAGCUUUCUUCUGUGUCCAGUGAGAUUCCAUUUGGCGAGGCACAAAUUUCAGAUGGGGACUUCAAAAAUGCCAGUGUAUUAGAUGGGUACUCGACUCUCGGUUCACAAUCGUCAUCAAUAUCAUUUUCUUCAGCUCAUCCUAAUAGCAACCGCGGGUGGCGGAUCCAUAGUUCGCCUUCUAAUACUUGUUCUGUUAGUAGAUUGACAAGUAAUCUACCCGAUAUGUGCAUUCUGGGCUCUGAGUCAAAGACAGGGGCAUUGCCU
rnacentral:misc_RNA from 1 species